UCAUUUACGAACGGUCGCGGAUAGACGAAUUUUCCGAAACAAUUAUAAAGAAAUUAAUGUAGCAAUUUUGGGUCUUCAGUUAUUCCCCCAAUUACCAGACCUAGAAUAUUUGAGCACAUGUUUUUAAAAGUGGUGAGUCUACCGUAAGCAGGUAAUGUGCAGUCGGACUGUUUUUAUUUACAUAGUUGUUUCAUUUAGGUAUGAAGGAAGUAAUAAGGCUGUAAAAUAGGAAGUGUCUGUCGCGUCGUGGUUUCGCGAAGUUUGCUAGCUUCCUUAGUAUUGUGACCACGUUGUUUGUGUAUGGAUUUCGUUCUACGGUCGCAGUGACGUUUGGACUUCCUAAUUGUGGACAUGUUUAUAUUUUAUUUGUAUAAUUAUACCUCCAUGCGGCAAUUGGACAGAUUGAUAGUGUAUUAAAAUAAGAACAACUCUUUAGUUCCACAUCUAUUAUGAUAAUUAUGAUAACUUCAAAAUGGUCGGAAAAAUCGCAUACACUCUUCUUGCCAUAGGCAUUCUCCAGUAUUGUCUAAUUCCAGUUGACACAAAUCCAGCAAUUGCUACAAGCUAUGAACCUCUCGAAAUAUGUAUGGAAAACUGCGCUCUGUGCAGAAAGAUGCUUGGAACGUGGUUUAAUGGACAACUUUGCGGGGAAUCCUGCUAUAAAUACAGGGGGAAACUUAUACCUGAAUGUGAAGACUUCGCUUCCAUUUCCCCAUUCCUCAACAAGCUAUAAAAAUCGAAACUCCGAAUACUCACCUUUAUCGAAGUUCCAUUGCGAAUUUCGUGAUAAUACCAAAGCAUUUAUACUUUAAUUUUAGUUUUAUUAUUACUAAUUUACAGGGAAAAUAAUAUAAGCGUAAUAAAAAACUAU